CAGCGCGGCAAGGCGGGCGCGGCCCCCGGCAUCGCCGCGCCGUGGUAGGCGCCUCCGGGGGCGGGCUGUGGCCCGGCUCGGGGAGCGGAGCCUGCCGGUACUCGUGCGGCCCUGCGGGGCUGUCCGUCUCCGGGUCGCUCCUUUGCAGCUCUUCCCGCUUCGGCUUUUCCUUCGUGUUCGCGCAGCGCUCUGUUGGCGGGGCUGACGGACAAAGGGCGGUGUGGGAGCGGGGUUGUCGGGCUGAGCCUGGCGGGGCAGCUGCCUGAUGUGCGCCCGUCUGACUCCUGUGCCGGGGAGAGCUGGGGAGAAAGGCGAGGCUUUGUGCUUUGGAGCCCCGUCCUGCGGCCUCGCUGGGCGGUGAGGGGCCCGUCCUGUGCUGGGGAGGCCGUGGGAGAGCACAGGGAGACCAGCGGCAGGGAGAGCUGCAGGUUGGCAUAACGGCCCUGCGGGUUUGACUGAAACGAGGGGUGAAACGCCACUCUUAGUUCUUCAGUGAAGUGCUACAGCACAUAACGUUGGAUUUCUUUCAUAUAGCUUGUUAUAAGAACAUACGUUGUAUAAUCAAUGAGUAUAUAGACGUAAAAUCAGUGACAAUACAGAGAAGAAUACUGGGCUUACCAAAAAAAAGACUCCACGAGGAGCCAUCUCCAGGGAGAGACCCCUCCCCAGCGGCAGUCAGCCCUGGAAUGGGCUCUAGCAGAGGUGCAGCCUGGCUCCAGCCCUUCCACUCACACAGCUCAACUGCCCUCACCUGUGCUCCCACGGCUGACUCAGCGCUCGCCUCAGGUGGUCAAUCAGAGGUUCAGGCCGUGAUUCAACAGGUCCUGUACAUACAUCCACUGAAAAACGUGGAGUUUAUGCAGAUAAAAGCCACAUGCGUUGUGGUAACUGCCUUUUUACUUGUGUAUCUACAGGGAGCAGCACGCCAGCACUGUUUCCUAGAACCUGUCGCUUACUGUGCAGGUGAGCUCAGUGUAACUGCGUCUGUAGUUUCUCAUAAUCGGUUGUGACUGUGGCCCUUUAGAUGUGCUCUCCAAAAGAAGCACUGCUAGAAGUGUGAUGGCUUCCAAAUGUGGAAGCAUUUCUGCAGGUGUCCUGCUCUUGUCUUUUAACAAGUCUGUUCAACAGUAGGCCUAAGUUCCCUUCUGCUACCAAAAUCCAGGAAUGAAACUUGACGACGUGAAUGACAGAUUAGGAAGCAGAUAUUACUUUAUUGCAGUGCUUGGUGCGUGAGGGAUUGCUCCUCACCAUCUGAAAGCACACAGAUUUUGUAUGCUUUAAUACACAAAUAUUCAUAGGGUUUCCUCAGAGUGCCCACCUAGUCCCAGAAUUGCUAUACAUAUUAAAAUCUGGUACUAUGCAUAAACCCAUGUUAGUGUGGUUUUUUUGCAAGGGGGCCUGUGGUGGUUGUGAGGUUCCACUGGGAGGUGCUAUCCAGGUGAAGGGUUGUCUGUUAUGUAGGCCAGGUCCUGUACUUGGUCAAGAACCUAUUUACAAAACCAUGACCGUUGACUUAGUUUCUAAUGAGCACAUCAAUCUUGUUACAGUGCUUGUAUCAUCAGCCCUACAGUGUACCUCCUCAAGGCUGGUGAAAUGCUGAGGCUCUACUUUUAGGCUCCAGAAGUCCUGCUUAUCUAGGACAGAGUCUUCUCUAGACAAAAUACCAGUCGGCUGAAGAGUUUGAACUCAUUGCUAAAGGCUCUGAACUUAUUGCCAGGCAGCACAGUGCUUGGGAAAAGCUUUACCUGGUGUUCAUCAUGAGUAGGAGUCGUCCCCACCUGUGAAGCCUGGGUUCCUGAUGGAGAAGUUGCUGAUCCUCCUUACCUGUGUCAUCCAAGUGGUUUAGAGGUGAAUAAAAUAUGAUGGCCUAUAUCAGAAAAGCAUUGGAAGUUUGGCUUCGUAAUUAUUUAUAACUGCUAUCUCUUGAAGAUGUGGUCAGAGCAGCUAUCAAGACGCAAAUAUUGCCAGUAAGGAGUGCCUACGUGCAUGGGCAGGUGUGCAGGCUGUGCUGGGAGCUGAAGAAGUCAUGGCUGUCCUAGAACAGUUUUCUAACACAGAAAUACCAUAAAGAACCACCAGCUCAUUCUCAAAAUUGACAAGGCAGAUGCAGAUGGUGUUUGUAGGCAAUAUCCUGGAGGCAGCAGGGGUAGGAGUGCUCCAGUUCCUGAUUUCUCUGGCAUAUCUUCCCAAAGAAGGACAUAGGAAAGAUGUCCCCUCUUAUGCAGGCAUCUCAUCCCCAGUUUUGUGUGCUUUCACCUCUGCAAGCCGUGAUCCUUCUUGCACUGCUGCCUGCUUCUAUCCCCUAGCAGCUCCCCUCCCCAGCGCUGGUGGGAGCGUUUAGCACAGGAACCCCAGGUCUGGAGUUUUAAAAUCCUUUUUUCUUGCCUUCUUGGGACCUUUUGCAUUUGCUUUAUGUUUGUACGUACAUGUCUUUCACCACACCUUCCUCUCUGGCCUCUGCGUGUGGAGCAAGCAAUGGCUUGCUGCUGUUUCUUGGUCACCCCUGGCCAGCAGGGUGAGGCCUUGUCCAUGGAAUGGGCUCCUGUCUGCCCAGCUGAGGGCAGCGUUAGCUCUGCUUCCAGCUAAGUCUUGGGAUUCAGUUUAUAAAGGAGCAGUUGUUAAAGGGAAGAAGGAAAAAAAACAAAGAACACUUCAAAGAUAUAUUUUUUUCAAUUUCAGAGGAAAAAAUCCUGUCCUGCUCGAAGUGCACUGGUAAAAAUGAUUUCGGUUGCUGUCGUGUUAAGCAAUGAGCAAAUGGGUCUGAAAAACAAGGUUGCCUUAGCAACUACGGCCCUGGUUUGUGGAGAGUUUGGAGCUAUUGGUUUCUAAUAGGAAGAUUUCUUGAACUCAAUCUGGGCACUGGGAAAAAAAGCCUGCCAAAAUGGCAUUCUGGGUGAAGGCGGUCGGGUUCUGUUCUGCUGCAGUGUGGUUGCUGCAUGGCACGUGCAGCACAGCUUGCUCCUCUGUUGGAGCUUCAGCUCUUAUGCAAGGGUUGAAUUGUUUAUUAAAAUACAGUUUGAACUUUGAUGUUGUGGCAAGGUUCAGCUUUCUUUUCUUUUUUUUGGGGGGGGGAUGGGGGGGGCAAGAAAUAAUGCAGUUUGCUUUGGGUAGCUUGCUGCUCUCUGGGCAUCUUAGUGUGCGCUCCGAGGUGAACAACUGGUGUGUCUGCAGAGCUUGUGUUCCCACCUGUUGUGCUUUUAGACCUUGUUAAAGCUCAUUUUGGUGCCUGGUUACCGAUUUUGAUACAGCUAAUAAGGGAUUUUACGCUCAGUAUUGCUGUGUCCUACGCUAUUGUUUUCGUGUGCUUGUUUUGUUUUGCAGGAAUCAUGCCAUCGGACACAGAUCAGUAAUGCUUGUUGCUUGAUCCAACUGCUGUAUAGCUGAUGAAUUCAUGGAUUUAAGACAAAUAAUCCGUAUUUCAUUACUAGCAAGUGCUAGAAAUAAAAAUGUACUCUGCACUAUUGCUUGGAAAAACAAAUCCUGAAGUCGUAAGAGAGGAUUAAAGUUGGAAAAAAAUCUCUCAAGAGAAAAACGAAGGGAGUAAUGACAUCUGCUUAGCAGCAUCCAGCCCCUCAGCCUGCAGCACGGACCUCUGGAGCCCUUACACACGGAAUAAAAGGGGAUGCAGUGAGUGAGGAGCAGCAGAACUGCAAGCAGAGCAGCGCUACUGGUGGUGGUGUUCUACCAUGGCAGUAAACAAAGCCAUCGGUUGCAGACUUCUGCACCAAUUCAGGUGGCUCCAUUGCAGGUAUAAGGUUGGAGGUGUGAGGUUUCUCAGCAGUGGGACGUUACCACCUAGCUGUGAGCUGGCUUUACUCUGCUGCUGCUCUGCAUGCCGUAAAACAGCAUCCGAAGGGUUUGCUCUGAAAGCAUCUCUUUGUGCCCUGGGCCAGUGACCCCACUGCUGUGCCAGUAAAUCAUGGCAAGCUGGAGGAAUCUCCCUGAUUUCUGAGCUCCUAAUCCCGCAAAGCCUGUAAAUGAUGGCUGGCUUAGCUUUGUUUCUGAUAAAACGAGGCUUAUGAGAUGAUGACAUUUGCUGCCUGUUUCUCCUCCGCUCCGUUCCGUGUCACCACCCAAGAGAUCUCUGGAGCCCAUCAGUGCAAGGCUGUGUGCCUAGUGCUACAACACUACCGCGUGCUGGAGAGCAGGGAGGAGCCUGGGUGAAUGUAUGGGAAUGAAUUUGGCUGUGUUAGCACUCCGAUCCCCUUCUGUAUGAUGUGCUUCCCCUGUUCUGCAGUGUCUGAUGCAGGUAUUGGGUCAGC
ensembl:lncRNA